rnacentral:tRNA from 1 species
GCCAAGCUAGCCAAGUUGGUCACGGCACAUGUCUGAAAAACAUGGGAUCUUGGUUCGAUUCCAAGGCUUGGCAC